rnacentral:rRNA from 1 species
GACGAACGCUGGCGGCGUGCCUAAUACAUGCAAGUUGAGCGAUGAAGAUUGGUGCUUGCACCAAUUUGAAGAGCAGCGGACGGGUGAGUAACGCGUGGGGAAUCUGCCUUUGAGCGGGGGACAACAUUUGGAAACGAAUGCUAAUACCGCAUAAUAACUUUAAACAUAAGUUUUAAGUUUGAAAGAUGCAAUUGCAUCACUCAAAGAUGAUCCCGCGUUGUAUUAGCUAGUUGGUGAGGUAAAGGCUCACCAAGGCGAUGAUACAUAGCCGACCUGAGAGGGUGAUCGGCCACAUUGGGACUGAGACACGGCCCAAACUCCUACGGGAGGCAGCAGUAGGGAAUCUUCGGCAAUGGACGAAAGUCUGACCGAGCAACGCCGCGUGAGUGAAGAAGGUUUUCGGAUCGUAAAACUCUGUUGGUAGAGAAGAACGUUGGUGAGAGUGGAAAGCUCAUCAAGUGACGGUAACUACCCAGAAAGGGACGGCUAACUACGUG